UUUUUUGCAGGUUGCAUAGCGGCUGCGGUUAAUGAAAAGAACAUGGGUUUUUUGGCGCUUUUGAUAAGUGAAACGUUAGCUAUUACCGAAAGUGGAGAGCUCUAUAUGUGGGGAAAGAAUUUUAGUGGUCAGCUUGGAAGGAAUUUGACCUUAAUCGCACAUUGACGGUUGGCGAAAGUGAAGAUAGAAGGUAAAUAUUUUGGUUAUGAUCGUCAGAUUGUU